UUGUCGAAACCUGCGAAAGCAGACCGCGAACACGUGUCUAACGACCAAACGAGGGCAACGGCGCGGGGGCGUGCCCCCCCGUCGGGGUCCUCACACCCGUGCGGCCGGUGCCAAGGCACCGCGCCGCGCGGGCCAACGAACCCGGGCGCGGAACGCGCCAAGGAAAACAAAAAAGAGAGCGUCCCCCCCACCGUGCGUCCCGUCCGCGGAGCACGCGCGGUGUGGGUCGGGCGUCCAUCGAAUGUCAUAACGACUCUCGGCAACGGAUAUCUCGGCUCUCGCAUCGAUGAAGAACGUAGCGAAAUGCGAUACUUGGUGUGAAUUGCAGAAUCCCGUGAACCAUCGAGUCUUUGAACGCAAGUUGCGCCCGAAGCCAUCAGGCCGAGGGCACGUCUGCCUGGGCGUCACGCAUCGCGUCGCCCCCCCUCGCCCGCCUCGUGCGGUGCCGUGGGGGGUGCGGAGAUUGGCCCCCCGUGCGCCCCGGCGCGCGGCCGGCCCAAAUGCGAUCCCCCGGCGACGCACGCCCCGACAAGUGGUGGUUGUUUCCUCAACUCGCGUGCUGUCGUGUGCCAAGGCGUCGUCCGUUCGGGAGAAAACAAGACCCAACGGCCACCGUGCCAUCGACCGCGACCCCAGGUCAGGCGGGACUACCCGCUGAGUUUAAGCAUAUCA
rnacentral:rRNA from 1 species